rnacentral:rRNA from 1 species
AUUGAACGCUGGCGGCAGGCCUAACACAUGCAAGUCGAACGAGUGGCGGACGGGUUAGUAAUGACUGGGAAAAUGACUGAUGGAGGGGGAUAACUACUGGAAACGGUAGCUAAUACCGCAUACCAUCAGAUGUGCCCAGAUGGGAGUAGCUAGUUGGUGGGGUAACGGCUCACCAAGGCGACGAUCCCUAGCUGGACUGAGAGGAUGACCCGCCACACUGGAACUGAGACACGGCCCAGACUCCUACGGGAGGCAGCAGUGGGGAAUAUUGCACAAUGGGCGAAAGCCUGAUGCAGCCAUGCCGCGUGUAUGAAGAAGGCCUUCGGAUUGUAAAGUACUUUCAGCGGGGAGGCGUUACCCGCAGAAGAAGCACCGGCUAACUCCGUGCCAGCAGCCGCGGUAAUAC